GACGAACGCUGGCGGCGUGCUUAACACAUGCAAGUCGAACGGAAAGGCCUCUUUCGGGGGGUACUCGAGUGGCGAACGGGUGAGUAACACGUGAGUAACCUGCCCUUGACUUUGGGAUAACUUCAGGAAACUGGGGCUAAUACCGGAUAGGAGCUCCUGCUGCAUGGUGGGGGUUGGAAAGUUUCGGCGGUUGGGGAUGGACUCGCGGCUUAUCAGCUUGUUGGUGGGGUAGUGGCUUACCAAGGCUUUGACGGGUAGCCGGCCUGAGAGGGUGACCGGCCACAUUGGGACUGAGAUACGGCCCAGACUCCGACGGGAAGCAGCAGUGGGGAAUAUUGCACAAUGGGUGGAAGCCUGAUGCAGCAACGCCGUGUGCGGGAUGACGGCCUUCGGGUUGUAAACCGCUUUCGCUCAUGACGAAGCUUUGUGUGACGGUAGUGGGUAAAGAAGCACCGGCUAACUACGUG
rnacentral:rRNA from 1 species